rnacentral:rRNA from 1 species
GCAGUCGCCGCGGUAAGACAGAGGAUGCAAGCGUUAUCCGGAAUGAUUGGGCGUAAAGCGUCUGUAGGUGGCUUUUCAAGUCCGCCGUCAAAUCCCAGGGCUCAACCCUGGACAGGCGGUGGAAACUACCAAGCCGGAGUACGGUAUGGGCAGAGGGAAUCUCCGGUGGAGCGGUGAAAUGCGUUGAGAUCGGAAAGAACACCAACGGCGAAAGCACUCUGCUGGGCCGACACUGACACUGAGAGACGAAAGCUAGGGGAGCAAAUGGGAUUAGAUACCCGGGUAGUCCCUGUCUCUUAUAC